GUACGGCGAGUGAAGCGGCAACAGCUCAAAUUUGAAAUCUGGCCCUCGGGUCCGAGUUGUAAUUUGUAGAGGAUGCUUUUGGCGCGGUGCCUUCCGAGUUCCCUGGAACGGGACGCCUUAGAGGGUGAGAGCCCCGUACGGUUGGACACCAAGCCUCUGUAAAGCUCCUUCGACGAGUCGAGUAGUUUGGGAAUGCUGCUCUAAAUGGGAGGUAAAUUUCUUCUAAAGCUAAAUAUUGGCCAGAGACCGAUAGCGCACAAGUAGAGUGAUCGAAAGAUGAAAAGCACUUUGAAAAGAGGGUUAAAUAGCACGUGAAAUUGUUGAAAGGGAAGCGUUUGCGACCAGACCUUUUCCUAGCGGAUCAUCCGGUGUUCUCACCGGUGCACUUCGCUAGGUUUAGGCCAGCAUCGGUUUCUGUAGGGGGAUAAAAGCUCUGGGAACGUAGCUCCUCCGGGAGUGUUAUAGCCCUCUGCAUAAUACCUUUACGGGGACCGAGGACCGCGCUUCGGCAAGGAUGCUGGCGUAAUGGUCGUCAACGACCCGUCUUGA
rnacentral:rRNA from 1 species